GGGACUUCCUCCAGCAGCUGCCUCUCUCCUCCCCUCGGCGGCGUGACAGCCUCGGCCUGCCGGACUCCCGGGUGGGCUGGGGGGCGGGCACAGGCACCCCGGCCACUUUGGAGGCUCGGGGAGAGGUUCGUAGAAGAGGCUGAGCGGACGGAGCGGAGGCGGUGCCAGGCGCCAGGCGUCCACCUGCGAGGAAGGCGCAGCGGCCGUGGGAGCCUGGGCGGCGGUGGCGGCAGCAUUGUGCUCCGAGCUGCAGUGAGUGUGUGAGUGUGCAUGUGUGUGUGCCUGUGUGUGCCGAGUCCCUCCAGACCUCACUCCAAUUCCCAUAUUGCUCCCCAGAGCCCUAAUGUGAUUAACUUAAACGGAGGCCUCCUGCUUCCCUGACUGAAGCAGAAACAUCCGUAGGUCUGGCACCCACGUGAGGACACUGAACACAACCUGGACCGGCUGUCCCAACUCACUAACCUCUGACCCUGGCCACACCCCAACGACUCUGCCAGAAUCUCUCUCUAGCCAAUUCUCUGAGCAUCCAAACGCCCCCACAAGUUAGAAGGGCCCCUGCCUCAGAGGUGAACCAGCUUAGAUUGAUGAGCUGGGGACAGGCCACCCACAGCUACAGGCUGAACCUCCCGCUCAGGGUUCAGGGUGCACCAGGUCUCAUCGCAUCCUGCCCCAGGGCCACCACUGGAGGCUGGGGACCCUUUUAUGUCUUGGCUGUGUGCUCAGAGGAUAGGCACAGUGGAUGGGGAGCUCUCAGGAAUAUUGUUUGGGGUCAGUCUACUGUGACCCUGGAACUAGGGAGCAGGAGGAAGAGGGAGGCCAGAAGGAGGUGCUGGCCUCUGGAGAAAAGGGGAAAGACGGAACCAGAGAGACAAAGGCAGAGGGAGACCCACAGACCGACUCCAGGGAGGUGGAGAGGGAGCCGUGAGCUUUGCCCCUCUUCUGUCGCUGCAGAGAAACUGGGAGGGGAGCCAGCCAGCCAAGCCUAGAAAGAAAGGGGGUGGGAGAGCUGCGGCUGCAUGCAAGCAGGACCCUGCCAGGGCCUCUUCCACAGCAACGGGGAGCGGGGAGCGCGGGAGCGCCAGCCAGGACCCCGCCCCCACCCCCCACCGCCUGCACUCCCAGGGUUCCCUGGACGUCAUCUCAGGGCCGUUUUGUCCUGGCAACACUGUCUCUCUGGCCCCUUCCUCGGAGGAGGAUAAGCACACAGAGACAGCACUGCGGGGGCUCCAGGGAGGGUCUCCUUUCCAACAGCCAGGUCACUCCUGCCUCCAAGCUCUCCCAGAUUUCUCAGGCCCUGACCCACCCACAUGUCACCCCCUCACCAUGGGACAAGGCAGAGGGGUACAGCGCUUUGGAGGAGGUUGGCAGGAGGAGAGCAGAUGUUAGGACUCUCAGUUCCCAACAGUCCCCAAGCAAGGGGGACCCCAUCGCUCCUCCCCNACACACACACACACACACACACACACACACACUACCACAAAAGCUCUGGAGGAAAGCUGGGGGGCAUCGGGGAAGUAGGUGGAAAGGUAGCAGGUGAGCCCGCCCCUAGCAGGCCCUGCCUUUGCUCUUGGCCAUGACCUCCAGCGAAGUGCCUGGCACUGCUGAAGUCUGUGCCAGGCCUAAGGAAUGGGGGGGGGUUUCCUCCUCUUUGGGGGGCCUGCAGCCUCCACAGCCUCCCCACCCUGGCGCCAGAGGAAGUAGAUGCAGUGUGAGAUGUGAGGGCUUAAUCCACAGCAAGUGGAAGGAAGUUUAAUCAGAAAGAAUCACUGAUUGAAUGUCCUAAACUGAGAGAAGACAGACAGGCUGAGGGGUGACCUGCCUAGACUAAGAGAGGAAUCUUCCUUGGGGGAUUCUUUUUUUUUUUUAACUGCGAGUCAUUCACUUUAUUAUUAUUUAUUUCUUUAUUUAUUUAUUUUUAGGGCCACACCUGCUGCAUAUGAAAGUUCCCAGAAUAAGGGUCAAAUCAGAACUGCAGCUGCAAGCCUACACCACAGCCACAGCCACACCAGAUCUGAGCUACAUCCACGCCAAAUCUGAGCCACAUCCACAACCUAUGCCACAGCUUGCAGCAAUGCCGGAUCUGUAUCCCACUGAGCGAGGCCACGGAUCAAACCCGCAGCCACAUGGAUUCAAUAACUCCCUGAGCCACAAUGGGAACUCCGUUAGGAGGAUUCUUAAGACUUUUCAGCCCUCAGGAAACAACUGGUCCUUUUAAACUGAAGGAAGGAAGAGAGGGUGGGAAGAAAGAGAAGGAAGUGCUUUCUAGAUUCAGCCCUUCCCUACAAGGAGAACCUGAUGAAAAAGGCUUGGGAUAGAGUCCUUCAUUGCAUCGACCUGCCAGCAAGAGGUGUCCUUGAACCAAUGACCCUCCAGAGAGGAAGGGAAGGGACUGGGGCUGAUGGGGCCAGGAGGCCAGGGGGCCAGGCCUGUCCCUGCCUGGAACUUCUCCCCAGCUCUGGUCUCGCCACACCCCACCAUGCCCCACACAGCUUCACACCCUGUGUCUCAGCUCCUGAAAGUCAAUGACAUCCUGCCCCCUGUGCCAGGCCCAACAGGGCACAGAAAUGUGUCUUUGAGAGUUUGGUGCCUCAGGGGAAGUUACAUGUUCUCAUUCCAUUGUCAUCACCAGAGGAGACCAGAACCCCAAAGAGAGUGGCUACAGCAUCCCCAGAAACUUCUAGAAAGCUUUAGCAAGGAUCCCAAGGCUUCCACGUUCAACACUUAUGGAGGUAGGGAGAGGGUCCUAACCCAGAAGUUGGGCUUUCGAUUUCAAUCUCUUUCUCCUCAAAGCACUCAAAGCACCAGAAACUGCAUCUAGUAGGUUCUCAAACACACCCCAGCCCCAUCUCUCCUUAAAGGCCCCCAAGCGUCAAGGACAGAGAUGCAGGAUUCCACAGAAUGGAUCAGAUGCAGAUGCUCAGACAUAAGGAACUGAAGAUAGGGAUGAGCCUGCGCAGGGUCUGGUCCAUCACAGGAGCGUCCGAUCAGACCCAACCUCUCUGUAGUCCCUAAGUGGGUGCCUGACAGCAGUCCCACAGCUCCUCGCCUCGGCCUCCUCAAUGGAGCUUUUAAAAAGCUGGCCACCAUCCUCGGAGGGUCAACCACUUCUCUGGGGACACUUUGUCCCCGCCCUGUCCAGGCUUCCACAGACCCUCAGGCCUGUGUCCCAGCCCUGCCACCCUCCUGGGACCCCUAUCUUCCUCCCUCUGCGUCGCCUCGUCAGCUGGAGUCCAGCUGGCAAGCAGGCUGUGCUGUGGGUCUGGCCAAGGCUUGAAGGAGGAGGAAUUUCUUCUCCACAUCCCGCUCUUGUUCACACAGCCCAGAGACCUGGAUUCAGAAUGCAGGCCAGGGAGGAGAUUCCAGAGUCCGGAUCCAGGUGGAAUGGAGGCCACAUUCACAGAGAGGGGGUGGAGGGGGGCUGCUCUCCUCCCCACCCCACCCCCACGUAGAAGCAAGAAAAGAACGGAAAACUUCCCAGAGGCAUCCAGCAAAGGUGUCAAGGAAACAAGAGAGCAGGUCACAGCCACCAGCUCCCUGGGGACAGGAUUGCCAGCUCCCAGAGGACCUCGUCCUUCAUGGUUGCCCUCCCACCCAGCACCCAGCACCCAGCACCCAGCACUCAGCACCCAGCACUCAGCAUGGUGCAGGGCCUAUGGUCAAUAAACAUGA
rnacentral:lncRNA from 1 species